rnacentral:rRNA from 1 species
AGAGUUUGAUCCUGGCUCAGAUUGAACGCUGGCGGCAUGCCUUACACAUGCAAGUCGAACGGUAACGCGGGGCAACCUGGCGACGAGUGGCGAACGGGUGAGUAAAGCAUCGGAACGUGCCCAGUAGUGGGGGAUAGCCCGGCGAAAGCCGGAUUAAUACCGCAUACGACCUAAGGGUGAAAGGGGGGGAUCGCAAGACCUCUCGCUAUUGGAGCGGCCGAUGUCAGAUUAGCUAGUUGGUGGGGUAAAAGCUCACCAAGGCGACGAUCUGUAGCUGGUCUGAGAGGACGACCAGCCACACUGGGACUGAGACACGGCCCAGACUCCUACGGGAGGCAGCAGUGGGGAAUUUUGGACAAUGGACGAAAGUCUGAUCCAGCCAUGCCGCGUGCGGGAAGAAGGCCUUCGGGUUGUAAACCGCUUUUGUCAGGGAAGAAAUCCUUUGAGCUAAUACCUCGGGGGGAUGACGGUACCUGAAGAAUAAGCACCGGCUAACUACGUGCCAGCAGCCGCGGUAAUACGUAGGGUGCAAGCGUUAAUCGGAAUUACUGGGCGUAAAGCGUGCGCAGGCGGUUAUGUAAGACAGAGGUGAAAUCCCCGGGCUCAACCUGGGAACUGCCUUUGUGACUGCAUAGCUUGAGUGCGGCAGAGGGGGAUGGAAUUCCGCGUGUAGCAGUGAAAUGCGUAGAUA